GACCGACCCGGACCCUACAUGGCGGCGUUCCGCCCGCGGUGGCUGGGGUCCCGGCCUUGAAAGGAAGCGUUCGCGAGUGGCUCCCGGGGCUCUUGGGAAAUGAAGCAUUGGCCUGGAUUUAUGUGGUGAGCUUCCCUCUUGGAGAACCUCGUGAGGGUUAACCACCGUUUCUUGCGUUGCAGUUACUUAAGAAAAAUAAUAACGUUACAACCCACGUAUAAAUCUCAUUGUACAAAUUACGGAAGUCAAGACACAGAGUGACGCUCCCCGACGAGGCAGAGUGGACAGUGAGAGAGACAGAGAGAAAGGUCUUCCUUUUGCCGUUGGUUCACCCCACAAUGGCCGCUGCGGCCAGUGCACCGUGCUGAUCUGAAGCCAGGAGCCAGGUGCUUCUCCUGGUCUCCCAUGCGGGUGCAGGGCCCAAGGACUUGGGCCAUCCUCCACUGCACUCCCGGGCCACAGCAGAGAGCUGGACUGGAAGAGGAGCAACCAGGACAGAAUCCGGCGCCCCAGCAGGGACUAGAACCCGGUGUGCCGGCACCGCAGGCGGAAGAUUAGUCUAUUGAGCCACAGCGCCGGCCUUACAGAUUCCACACCAGAUCAUCCAUCACAAACAACACCAGCCCGGAAGGAAACUCCCAGUUCUUCAUCUCGGCAGAAAGAUAAAGUUGAUAAAAGAAAUGAAUGUGGUGAGACUCCAUUACACAUGGCAGCUAUUCGAAGAGAUGUGAAGCAAGUCAAAGAAUUAAUAAGUUUAGGGGCAAAUGUGAAUGUGAAAGAUUUUGCAGAGAAAAGUGAAGAGAAGAGAUAAGGGGUGACGUGACUGAAAUUCACUAGCAAAUUGGCUGUCCCAGAUCAUGGGAGAGAAUAUUGAAGUUUUUGAGUGCAAAGGUACAUAUUAAGCUUCGGGAUAUUGGAAUUUUUACAUUAAUUUAUAUUUUAAUUCUUACUGUACUUGGCAUGCGCAAUAAAGCAGCACGUGUAAAAGCUACACAGUGCGAGGACUUUAUCAUAAAGGUUGCUGUAGUUUUCUUUAGAGUUUAGUGAGGGAUUUGUGGCCCUUUUUGUUGGAUAAGUGGGCCAGAAAGGCAGGGUAGAUUUUGAAGCACUGGUUUUGUUGAAGCUAAGUUUUAAUUAAAACUGGGAACAUGAAAAGCUAACUUAUAAAAGCAAUACUUUUAAUGCAAAAAAAUGUAAUGCAAACUUGUUUCUACUUUUGCCUCAAAAGGAAAUUUGUUGGGAUAGUGUGGCAAAUCGUAAAAGUCAAAAACCAGAUUAUUGAGCCUUGAAGUUGUAGAAAAUAAGAGAGGUCUCGCUCUUGAGUGGUACCUCAGAAAGCUGGAGCCUGCUGCCUGGGUCCGCACAUCUCCUCUGUCAGGUAACUCGGAGCUAAUGGGGACAGCUUCAAGUUACUGCCUUCUCAUUGGACAUUUCUAAUCAAGGAAGUUGCUGAGGGCUUCUGACAUCGAAGAUAAUCUAAAACCCUGAAAUGCUAGGGAAAAACGUGGAAUGGGCUGUAUACCUAAAAAGGUUACAGGUUCUGAAAGAAAAACAAAAGUGGUUAGUUUAAUCAGUGACUCUUUUUAAACUAUUCAAAUAUCAUGAACAAGAUACUAAAUUGUACCUAAGGAUUUGUAUUUCUUUAAAUCUUGUUCUAAAUCAUAUCUGUUUAAUA